rnacentral:rRNA from 1 species
GAUCCUGGCUCAGGACGAACGCUGGCGGCAUGCUUAACACAUGCAAGUCGAACGGAGCACCCUUGAAUGAGGUUUCGGCCAAAGGAAAGGAAUGCUUAGUGGCGGACUGGUGAGUAACGCGUGAGGAACCUGCCUUUCAGAGGGGGACAACAGCUGGAAACGGCUGCUAAUACCGCAUGACGCAUUCGGAUGGCAUCAUCUGAAUGCCAAAGAUUUAUCGCUGAAAGAUGG